ACGUAGGGUGCAAGCGUUGUCCGGAAUUAUUGGGCGUAAAGAGCUCGUAGGCGGUUUGUCGCGUCUGCUGUGAAAACCCGAGGCUCAACCUCGGGCCUGCAGUGGGUACGGGCAGACUAGAGUGCGGUAGGGGAGAUUGGAAUUCCUGGUGUAGCGGUGAAAUGCGUAGAUAUCGAGAGGAACACCUGCGGCGAAGGCGGGUUGCUGGGCUGACACUGACGCUGAGGCGCGAAAGCUAGGGUAGCAAACGGGA
rnacentral:rRNA from 1 species